CUCCGAGGCACCUCCGCGAGGGCGAGAAUGCGGCUCCGGGUCCGGGGUCAGCGGGUCCCGCUCCUGUCACAGGAGGAGUUCUCUCUCUCCGGCAGGGCCCAUUGUCUCUGCGCAGGCAGCGGCGGACUUGUUUGCGGCCUCCUUGUCCAUUUCGCUUUCCCCCGGCCUGCUGACGAGGACAACGCGGGCCAGUGGGAAUCAAUUAGGAGGUGUUUCGCUUUAUUGACUUCCUUUGAUUUCAGGAUAAAUGUUUUGUCUCCCUCUUCUAAAACAAAAGGAAAGGAAGAAAUGCUGCCUAUAGCCCGACUGCCGCACGGCGCGGCCCGCCAAGCCUGUGUUCAUAGAAGCCUUUGCAAAAGCAUGCCUUAAGUUUUCUUGCAAAGCCUUUAUCCCCAUGUACCAUCGUAGCAACAGCAACACACACGGUAACCGAAAAGCCUCCUAUAUACAUUACACACUUAGAAUAUUAAGGAAUGCAAACAGCGAGCCCAAGACAACAAACGCGCGCAACUUAGGCACACUCCAAAUGUAUACACGUUUACCCCAAAAGAAAGCUGUAAUCCUAAAUCCUGAGAGCCCCAAUGGAACUUGCUUCCAUGAAUAGGCAUCCAGGAAAUUGCUGUAUAUGUCCCAUAGAUUUAAAUGGGAGUCUAGGUAAAUGUACAUUGCAGUGUACUGCAGAUCUCUACUCAGAACUAAGCACCGCUGAAUUAAAUGAGGCUUGUUUACUACUACUACUAUACUGGUGUCCGGCCUUUAUAUUGCUAGAGCUUGAUGUACUCCAGCAAUGUGAAAAACUGGAGUUCAGGCAUUUUCCUCUUGGCAUCCUAACGCAUAACAUCCCAGGUGGAAUUCAGUGGCACAGAAAAGGCUUGUGUAUUGAAGCCCCCCCCCCCCCCCCUUUCAACGAAGGUGUUACAAAACAGAAGAUAUUUUUAGAAACUCGACGCGUCCAGGUCACUUGAACAGAUUAUGCAAGAAAUCUUAAAAAAAAAAAGCAAACAAACCCGUCCUUUAAAAAUUCCACUUCAAGCGACGCGCCAACAUGUGGCACAACUACCUAGACUGCAGUUCUAUGUUUACGCUGUCAGGGAGGUCGGUCGCACAGACAUCCGCAGGCCUUACUUCCGAGUAAACGGGUUUAGCAUUGCGCGGUGUCAAGAGAGCGCCCGGCUCCUUCGCUCGCCAAGUCAGCCGCCUUCCCGGUCAGGCGCCAUCAUCAAAAGAACAGCCUUAACCUGAACUCUUGUCCCCCCCCCCCGCCCCUUUUCUCUCUCUCCCCAGCCCUGCCUUAAUUAGGGCCAUUGUUGCGAGCCACGGUUAUGGAAGUGACAGGCGACCGAGGGAGCGAGAAGGCCCAGUCUUGAAAGCGGAAAAUAGGAGGGUAGGCGGAUUUCUUUGCACCCGAACAUGUAAGUUUGGAAACAGCGACCAUGGUAGGCAGUGCAGUCGUGUAAAUGUCUGGUCGCAAAUAUAAUCGAGAUCAACGGGACUGCUUUUGGGGGAAAGCGUGAUAGCAUUGCAGUCUAAAUUCCAGAACCUAAACCGCCCAAUUCCUAACACACCACAAACAAAACAGAAUUUCAUUUGUUUAUAUUUUUCCAUCUCAGACACAUUAAUAAUAUUUUUCUAUCUCAAAACGCAUUACCAGGGUGACUAGCAAUUAAAAAGCUAAGUGUCUAAUUCAGACUCUACGGAGGAAAUAAGUCCCUUUCAACUUAGUAGAACCUACUUCUGACUUGAGUAGACAUGACUUAGGAUUGGAUUUGAACUCGGCAGAACUUGUUUCCGAGUAAACAAGGAAGCUUAGGAACCUCUCCGUAAGUUAUCAAAAAAGAAUCUGGAAUCACCUCGGUGCCGGCUGAACGCGCCUUAACUCCUUGCUUCGCUCCAGAGUCCAGACGGCUUCCUUCUAAGACCAAUCGCCGUCUAUUAAGCCGAGGUAGCUGCCUUUAAAUCGACGGGAAUCCCACCCUAGCCAACCCUCCAAUUCACGCCGCCUUUGUGGCUUUAAAAAGCAAGACCUGAAGUGAGCGCAUUUCCAAAAGUCCGCUUCAAAUCAACGGGACGCAGGAAGUCCCAUUUUAAAAGCUUGAAUUUACUUUUGAUUCAAUAGGCCGGUGUUGCUCCAAUGCUCGGUCUGCUUUGCCCGGUAGAAAUGCCACAGGAAUAAAUGCGGGGAGUAAGUACUCAGUGAAAGAAAGGCAGCCUUCUUUCCUACGAUGCGCACUGACUAAGGCGCAAAGGCAGCCAUGUUGGCCUAUACGGGGGAAAAUGGCAACAACCCAGUUGAGCAAUAACUUUAUUACAGCCAACCAAAAUGCCACAAAGGAUUCCGAGGAUUCUGGGACAGAGAAGCCAUGGCUGCCCUUGUUGGCUUGUAAGGGUUGUAGCUAAAUAGCACUCAGUGGGGCUGAAUAAGGCUGCUGUCUUAUUCUAC